rnacentral:rRNA from 1 species
UGCAAGUCUCUCCGCAAGGAGGGCAAACUGCUCAGAAACACGUAGUUAACAUACCCUAAGGUCCGGGAUAUCUUCGGGAAACUGAGGUUAAGACCGGGCAUGAGAUGCAGGCUGCAAUGCGGUAUCUCUGAAAGGCAACGCCUUAGGACUGGACUGCGGUUGAUUAGGUAGUUGUUGAGGUAAAAGCUCAACAAGCCUACGAUCAAUAAGAGCCUUUAACGGGGGAGCUCUGAGAAGAACCCUGAGACACAGGUUCUAGCCCUAUGGGGUGCAGCAGGCGAGAAAAUUUUCCAAUGCACGAAAGUGUGAGAAAGGAAUCGGAAGUGCUUUAACUUUUUGUUAAAGCUUUUCUUCUCUGUAAAAAGGAGGAGGAAUAAGGACUGGGCAAGACUGGUGCCAGCCGCCGCGGUAAUCCCAGCAGUUCGAGUGGUGGCCACAUUUAUUAGGUCUAAAAGAAUCGUAGCUGGCCGAGUAAGUUUCCUGUCAAAUCUUGUCUCUUAAGGGCAAGGCGUGCAGGGAGUACUGCUUGGCUAGGGACCGGGAGACGUAAGGAGUACGGUGAUGGUAGCGGUAAAAUGUUUUAAUCAUUACCGGACUAACAAUGGCGAAGGCACCUUACGAGAACGGAUCUGGCGGUGAGGAUUGAAGGCCAGGGGCGCGAACGGGAUUAGAUACCCCGGUAGUCCUGGCUGUAAACCUACUUACUAAACAUUAUGAUCUCCUCGAGAGAUUGUGGUGCUGAAGCGAAGGCGGAAGUAAGUUACCUGGGGAGUAUAGUCGCAAGGCCGAAACUUAAAGGAAUUGGCGGGGGGGUGUUACAAGGGGUGACGCGUGCGGUUCAAUUAGAUUCUACACCGUGAAUCUCACCAGGAGCGACAGCAGGAUGAAGGUCAGUCUGAAGGGCUUACCUGACACGCUGAGAGGAGAUGCAUGGCCGUCGUAAGCUUGUGUUGUGAAAUGCCCUGUUAAAUCAGGUAACAAGCGAGACCUGCAUGUGUAUUUGCUACUUGGAGAAAGAGAACAAUACACAGACUGCCUUAGUAAUAAGGAGGAGGGUGCAGGCAACGAUAGGUGAGUACGUCCCGAAUCCCCUGGGCUACACGCGCGCGGCAAUGGUAAGGGCAAUGAGACGCGACUUCGAAAGAAGAAGCAAAUCUCCUAAUCCUUAUCUUAGUCCAGAUUGAACGCUGUAACCUGCGUUCAUGACGCUGGAAUCCCUAGUAAUCGGGUGUUAUCAGCGCCCGGUGAAUACGUCAACAUUCCUUGCACACACCGCCCAUCAAACCAUCCGAGUUAUGUUUAGGCGAGAGUCGCAAGAAACAAGCUUAAAUGUAAUGGGGAAGGUUAAGUUGUCACAAGGUA